UUCCUACGGGGGGCAGCAGUAGGGAAUCUUCGGCAAUGGACGAAAGUCUGACCGAGCAACGCCGCGUGAGUGAAGAAGGUUUUCGGAUCGUAAAACUCUGUUGGUAGAGAAGAACGUUGGUGAGAGUGGAAAGCUCAUCAAGUGACGGUAACUACCCAGAAAGGGACGGCUAACUACGUGCCAGCAGCCGCGGUAAUACGUAGGUGGCAAGCGUUGUCCGGAUUUACUGGGUGUAAAGGGCGUGCAGCCGGAGAGACAAGUCAGAUGUGAAAUCCACGGGCUCAACCCGUGAACUGCAUUUGAAA
rnacentral:rRNA from 1 species